GGGGCGAUGGGGACGGCGCUGCCGCCGUCCUCGUCCCUGCCCCUGCCUCUGCCCCUGCCCGCGGCCGCCGCGGCCCUUGCCGCCCUCUUCCUCGUCCUGUUUUAGAUCAGCCUGCUUGAAGAUAACACCUGCAAAAUAGCACUGCACAUAAGAAGCACCCAAUACAGCCCUCAGAAUAAUUGGAAGGAAAUAAUGGAUAAUAUUGUAGAGGAGAAAGAGCCUACACCAGGUUGAACUUCUUUCUGCUUAUUUUAGAGAAUAAUUUUUGGUGUGAAAUGUCUUCGAAGUCGUCUUCUGGAGAUUCAUUUUGUCUGACAGCAGACUAGCAUGGAUGCAGUAUGGAUGCUGGAUUGACAUCAACACGAAAGACAAUUGCAAACAAGUAAUUUGAUGUUGAAUAUAUAUCUAAAGUUAUCACCCCCUAGUUCCCUGUAAGCAGAUAUGAUAUUAUUAACUGGGGCACACCAUUACUUUGCAAUUCUAGUUUUUCUUUUAUGGAAUCUGGAACAUGGAAAAGAGAAAUGGAUAAUGAAGAUGUGGAGUCAGGACACUAUCAGGUAGUGUCAACACUUAUUCCCAGCCACCUGAAGCCCUGUGUUUGUUUGGUAUUUUUUUGUGCCUCAAGGUGAACUUAAUGCACAAAACAGAUUUACAAAAACUGUUUACAAAAACUUUACUACUAAACAUUAAGCUACUGUCUGAGGUAAGUAUUUGAGAUUUCAGCAGACAUUAAGAGACCCAAAAGGAAGGGUAAACAUCAUUCCAACAUUGUUCCAGCAUUGCUGGCUGAGCUGCUAGGUUUUCUGAAUUAUUUGAUUGGUCUUUCAACAUAUCCCUCAGGUAAACUAGGGCUCAAGCAGCUCAACAGGAAAGAUAGCAUAAUAAAUUCACCCUGGAUCAUUAAAACUUUGAAACACUGUAUUCUUUUACCCACUCUUGGGCAGGGAUUAGAAACCGUAUUAUCACUUCUGCAGAUGCCAAGCACUGAAGCUACUAUUCUAUUCAUACCUUGAAGCUUUCUAUCCCUAAGGAUACCUUCUUUACAGAAACUAUUGAUUUUUGCCAUCUAAUGUACAGUCACUCACAAAGUAUUCUAGUUUUCUGUUUGCCUGCAUGACUUUUAUGGAGGGAACCAUUGAUUUUUACCUUUUUUUUUUUUUUUUUGGUAAUAGGUUUUUAAAAUAGUUCUUUUAAAACUUACUGUUCUUCUUCUGUGUCAGUAGAAAUAAGAAAAGUGAAGAAUAUAAAAAGCAACUACAUUGUCAUAUAUAAAAAACAACUACCUUUUCAUUGAAUCUAUGAUGCAUGUGGGAUGCAUAUAUACAGAGUUUAAAGGACUGUUAUGCACCUUAGCUGCCAUUCUCUGGAAAACAGCCUAUUUUAUAUGGAAAAUGUUCACUGUAAUGGAAAUUGAAGUUAAUAAUUUGCAAGCAUUCUUUUUAUUUUGUUAUCAGUGACAUUCAUGUGUGUUUUUGUUAGAGCUCAAAACUAUAAGCUUGUGUUCAGUUUUAAA